rnacentral:rRNA from 1 species
GCCUGAUCAGGUUGAAGUCAGGGGAAACCCUGAUGGAAGACCGAAGCAGUUCUGACGUGCAAAUCGAUUGUCAGAAUUGGGCAUAGGGGCGAAAGACCAAUCGAACCAUCUAGUAGCUGGUUCCCUCCGAAGUUUCCCUCAGGAUAGCUGGUGCAUAUACCGUUUCAUAAAACUUAAUAAAUCUUAUCUGGUAAAGCGAAUGAUUAGAGGCAUUAGGUUCGAAACGUUCUUAACCUAUUCUCAAACUAUAAAUGGGUACGAUAUAAGAGUUUCUUGAUUGAACUCUUAUUUCACGCUAUAAUGGCGUACCAUAUCAAACAUUUAUUACAUGUUUGUAAUUUGGUUUAGAUUUAUUGUGCCCAGUGGGCCAAG